GACGAACGCUGGCGGCGUGCUUAACACAUGCAAGUCGAGCGGAAAGGCCCUUCGGGGUCCUCGAGCGGCGAACGGGUGAGUAACACGUGAGUAACCUGCCCCAGACUUUGGGAUAACCCUCGGAAACGGGGGCUAAUACCGGAUACGACACAGCUUCGCAUGGGGUCUGUGUGGAAAGUUUUUCGGUUUGGGAUGGGCUCGCGGCCUAUCAGCUUGUUGGUGGGGUGAUGGCCUACCAAGGCGACGACGGGUAGCCGGCCUGAGAGGGCGACCGGCCACACUGGGACUGAGACACGGCCCAGACUCCUACGGGAGGCAGCAGUGGGGAAUAUUGCACAAUGGGCGGAAGCCUGAUGCAGCGACGCCGCGUGAGGGAUGACGGCCUUCGGGUUGUAAACCUCUUUCAGCAGGGACGAAGCGUAAGUGACGGUACCUGCAAAAGAAGCGCCGGCCAACUACGUG
rnacentral:rRNA from 1 species